GGCUAUCUCCGCCCAGCUCCCAAGUCGGGCGGCUCACGUGAGCGCUCACGUGCCCGGCGGGGGAGGAGGGUUGUUUCCGGAAGUGCUCGGCGCGGGCAGAGCCGGGUUUCGGGCGCUGCGGAGCGGGGCUCCGGCCGGGCUGGGGCGGGCUGCGGGGAUGGAGAUCAUCAGGAGCAAUUUUAAGGAUAACCUAAAUAAAGUGUAUGAAGCCAUCGAGGAAGCAGACUUUUUGGCUAUUGAUGGCGAAUUUUCAGGAAUCAGUGAUGGGCCAUCUGUUAGCACAUUAACCAAUGGUUUUGACACACCAGAAGAAAGGUAUCAAAAACUUAAAAAGCAUUCCAUGGAUUUCUUGCUUUUUCAGUUUGGCCUUUGUAGUUUUAAAUAUGACCACACAGAAGCUAAAUACAUAAUGAAAUCAUUUAACUUCUAUAUUUUUCCAAAACCCUUCAACAGAAGUUCACCAGAUGUCAAGUUUGUCUGUCAGAGUUCAAGUAUAGACUUUUUAGCAAACCAAGGAUUUGAUUUUAAUAAAGUUUUUCGCAAUGGAAUCCCAUAUUUAAAUCAGGAUGAGGAAAGACAAUUACGGGAGCAGUAUGAUGAAAAACGUUCUCAGGCAAAUGGUGCGGCGACCCUAUCGUACAUUUCCCCUAAUGCCACAAAGUGUCCUGCGACUAUUCCUGAGGAUCAGAAAAAAUUCAUUGAAAGAGUGGUGGAGCAAAUAGAAGAUUUAAUACAGAAUGAAGAAAACAAGAAUUUGCAGUUGGAGCCAUGCACAGGAUUUCAGAGGAAACUAAUUUAUCAGACUUUGAGCUGGAAGUACCCAAAAGGUAUCCAUGUUGAAACUCUGGAGACAGAGAAGAAGGAAAGAUACAUUGUCAUUAGCAAGGUAGAUGAAGAAGAGCGCAAAAGAAGAGAACAGCAGAAACAAGCAAAAGAACAGGAGGAGCUCAGUGAUGCAGUGGGAUUUUCCAGAGUUAUUCAUGCCAUUGCUAAUUCUAAAGGACAUAGCUCUUGUUUUGGCUGUAACAACAAGGGCAAACUUGUUGUUGGACACAACAUGCUACUGGAUGUCAUGCACACUAUCCACCAGUUUUACUGUCCCCUGCCUGAAGACCUAAGCGAGUUUAAGGAGUUAGCGGCAUGUGUCUUUCCCAGACUAUUGGAUACUAAACUGAUGGCAAGUACGCAGCCUUUUAAGGAAAUUAUUAACAACACAUCCCUUGCAGAACUGGAAAAGCGUUUAAAAGAGAUUCCAUUCAACCCUCCUGAAGUUGAAAGUGCAGAAGGGUUUCCAAGUUAUGACACAGCUUCUGAACAACUUCAUGAAGCAGGCUAUGAUGCUUACAUAACAGGACUGUGUUUCAUCUCCAUGGCUAACUACCUAGGUUCAUUUCUCAGUCCUCCGAAAAAUCAUGUAUCUGCUAGAUCAAAACUCAUUGAACCCUUUUUUAACAAGUUAUUUCUUAUGAGGGUAAUGGACAUACCAUAUCUCAAUUUGGAAGGACCAGACUUGCAGCCAAAACGAGACCAUGUUCUUCAUGUUACAUUUCCCAAAGAGUGGAAGACUAGUGAUCUUUACCAGCUUUUCAGUGCCUUUGGUAAUAUUCAGGUAUCUUGGAUUGAUGAUACAUCAGCAUUUGUGUCACUUAGCCAGCCAGAACAAGUACAAAUAGCUGUAAACACCAGCAGGUAUGCUGAAAGUUAUAGGAUCCAGACCUAUGCAGAAUAUGUUGAGAAAAAACAUGAAGAGAAACAGGCAAAAAGAAAGUGGACAGAAGAUAGUUGGAAGGAGAUGGAGAGAAAGCGGUUAAAAACGCAAUACACAGCAUACAUUCCCGAGAGUCGGUACUACUGUGGUAACAGUUUUACAGCUACCAGCACAAUGGGAAAAAGAAGUAUGAGUCCUAUUCAAGAGGAAACUGGCUCUGAUGAUAUGGAAGAGAGAGAAAUCGAAGAAACAGAGCUUGAUGAAACAGAUUGCUAUGCAGAGUCUGUUCCAGAGGGAAGGAAGAGAGCCAAAAAGUUCAAAAAAGUCAAGAAAGAGCAAGAUCCAACAGCUUGAGGACCCUUGCUCUGCCUGAGAAAGGGACUAAGAUUUUGAGGCAGCAGCAGAAUGGGAAGUGCCUUCUUAUCAUCCGCUUUUUUAUCUGCCAGAGAAAGGGGAUCAGACCCUGAAAGGAAGCAUCACAAGUGGUUCCACAGCACUCUUUGAAGUUCCUGACACGUGGUAGCCAACAUCUGUAUUAAUAAAAAGUGAAGCUGAUUCAAAGCAAUUGCAAGAGUAUACCACUUGGAAGCCAUACUUUAUUUAAAUAAAAAGUGGUGUUGAAAAAUAAGUAUGUCUCCUGAAAAUCAGUUUAAUUUUUUUAAACUGUCUACUGAACAAUCACUGUCAGUUUUACUCGUGUAUUAACUAGUUUACAAUUCUGUCUGUUGAUCAUGUGAAAUCUUUGCUGUCGUAAACAAUGUUAGAUUUAAGAAGCAAGACUAAACAUGUUUUGGUCACCUGUUAUGGCAUGUUGGCUAUGAAAUGUACAAAAAGAAUCAGCACUAUUAAGAAUUUUGUUAGGCUGUUUCCUGUGCUUGAGGGGAGUUAUCACACAAGUCUUCUCAUCUUCAGAUGUUCGGGCAAUAUCAGUAGUCCUGAACAGAUAAACCUCAGUAUCGGUUACUGCUUUCUACCAGUUACCCUGGAAACCUUACAGUGUUGUCCUUUUUCCUCAGUAGGAAGACUUCAGCCAGUAUCUGUCUGGAAACUAAUCCUACACAUAUAUAUCCUUUUGUCCUCUUGGAAAAAUUUAACUUAUACUUUCCUUAAAAAAAAAAAAGAAAGAAGAAAAAAGAAAGAAAUUAAUGUUGGGAGGAGGUGGGUUUUCUUUUCUGUUUUCACUCAAGUCUUGAUCUGGUUUUCCAUGGUUUGUGUUUUUUUGUAAAAAUGUUUUUGAAACCUGUGACAAACCUGCAAACUGUACCAGCCCUUUAUUCAUUUACAAAAAAUCUGCUUUGGUAGAUUUCAGAAACUUUGAUAUUUAACAUUUUUGUAUCAUGGAAAUAAAAAUGAAAAAUGUAUUUCCAUAAAAUGAAAAUAAAAAACAUUUUCUUAGGA